rnacentral:rRNA from 1 species
CUACGGGGGGCAGCAGUGAGGAAUAUUGGACAAUGGAUGGAAAUCUGAUCCAGCCAUGCCGCGUGCAGGAAGACGGCCCUAUGGGUUGUAAACUGCUUUUGUAUGGGAGCAAUAAGGUCUAUGCGUAGACUGAUGAGAGUACCAUACGAAUAAGCAUCGGCUAACUCCGUGCCAGCAGCCGCGGUAAUACGGGGGAUGCAAGCGUUAUCCGGAUUUAUUGGGUUUAAAGGGUGCGUAGGCGGUUUGAUAAGUCAGCGGUGAAAUAUUUCAGCUUAACUGAAAGGGUGCCGUUGAUACUGUCAGGCUUGAAUAUGGUUGCUGUGGGUGGAAUGUGUGGUGUAGCGGUGAAAUGCUUAGAUAUCACACAGAAUAUCGAUUGCGAAGGCAGCUCACAAAGCCAUUAUUGACGCUGAUGCACGAAAGUGUGGGGAUCAAACAGGAUUAGAUACCCUGGUAGUCCACACUGUAAACGAUGAUAACUCGCUGUCGGCGAUACACAGUCGGUAGCCAAGCGAAAGCGAUAAGUUAUCCACCUGGGGAGUACGACCGCAAGGUUGAAACUCAAAGGAAUUGACGGGGGCCCGCACAAGCGGAGGAACAUGUGGUUUAAUUCGAUGAUACGCGAGGAACCUUACCCGGGCUCGAACGGUGCAGGAAUAUGUCAGAGAUG